CUGCUUCAACAGCACAUACAGUAACACUGGAACUUCUCUGGACACACAGAAGAUUAGCACAGCACGUGUGUAAGGGUGACAUGCAGAUCUGUGCGAAGCAUUCCAUAUGUUU
ensembl:snRNA U6 U6 spliceosomal RNA